rnacentral:rRNA from 1 species
AGUGGCGACGGGUGAGUAACACGUGGGCAAUCUGCCCUUCACUCUGGGACAAGCCCUGGAAACGGGGUCUAAUACCGGAUAACACUCUGUCCCGCAUGGGACGGGGUUAAAAGCUCCGGCGGUGAAGGAUGAGCCCGCGGCCUAUCAGCUUGUUGGUGGGGUAAUGGCCUACCAAGGCGACGACGGGUAGCCGGCCUGAGAGGGCGACCGGCCACACUGGGACUGAGACACGGCCCAGACUCCUACGGGAGGCAGCAGUGGGGAAUAUUGCACAAUGGGCGAAAGCCUGAUGCAGCGACGCCGCGUGAGGGAUGACGGCCUUCGGGUUGUAAACCUCUUUCAGCAGGGAAGAAGCGAAAGUGACGGUACCUGCAGAAGAAGCGCCGGCUAACUACGUGCCAGCAGCCGCGGUAAUACGUAGGGCGCAAGCGUUGUCCGGAAUUAUUGGGCGUAAAGAGCUCGUAGGCGGCUUGUCACGUCGGAUGUGAAAGCCCGGGGCUUAACCCCGGGUCUGCAUUCGAUACGGGCUAGCUAGAGUGUGGUAGGGGAGAUCGGAAUUCCUGGUGUAGCGGUGAAAUGCGCAGAUAUCAGGAGGAACACCGGUGGCGAAGGCGGAUCUCUGGGCCAUUACUGACGCUGAGGAGCGAAAGCGUGGGGAGCGAACAGGAUUAGAUACCCUGGUAGUCCACGCCGUAAACGUUGGGAACUAGGUGUUGGCGACAUUCCACGUCGUCGGUGCCGCAGCUAACGCAUUAAGUUCCCCGCCUGGGGAGUACGGCCGCAAGGCUAAAACUCAAAGGAAUUGACGGG